rnacentral:rRNA from 1 species
ACCCCUGUGAACAUACCAAUUGUUGCCUCGGCGGAUCAGCCCGCUCCCGGUAAAACGGGACGGCCCGCCAGAGGACCCCUAAACUCUGUUUCUAUAUGUAACUUCUGAGUAAAACCAUAAAUAAAUCAAAACUUUCAACAACGGAUCUCUUGGUUCUGGCAUCGAUGAAGAACGCAGCAAAAUGCGAUAAGUAAUGUGAAUUGCAGAAUUCAGUGAAUCAUCGAAUCUUUGAACGCACAUUGCGCCCGCCAGUAUUCUGGCGGGCAUGCCUGUUCGAGCGUCAUUUCAACCCUCAAGCCCCCGGGUUUGGUGUUGGGGAUCGGCGAGCCCUUGCGGCAAGCCGGCCCCGAAAUCUAGUGGCGGUCUCGCUGCAGCUUCCAUUGCGUAGUAGUAAAACCCUCGCAACUGGUACGCGGCGCGGCCAAGCCGUUAAACCCCCAACUUCUGAAUGUUGACCUCGGAUCAGGUAGGAAUACCCGCUGAACUUAAGCAUAUCAAUAAGGCGGA